rnacentral:rRNA from 1 species
UUGAACGCUGGCGGCAUGCCUCACACAUGCAAGUCGAACGGUAGAGGGGCAACCCUUGAGAGUGGCGAACGGGUGAGUAAUGCAUCGGAACGUGCCCAGUCGUGGGGGAUAACGCAGCGAAAGCUGUGCUAAUACCGCAUGUGAUCUGUGGAUGAAAGCAGGGGACCGCAAGGCCUUGUGCGAUUGGAGCGGCCGAUGUCAGAUUAGCUAGUUGGUAGGGUAAAAGCCUACCAAGGCG